CAGCAGCCGCGGGAAUACGUAGGGUGCAAGCGUUAAUCGGAAUUACUGGGCGUAAAGCGUGCGCAGGCGGUUUGUUAAGACAGAUGUGAAAUCCCCGGGCUCAACCUGGGAACUGCAUUUGUGACUGGCAAGCUAGAGUAUGGCAGAGGGGGGUGGAAUUCCGCGUGUAGCAGUGAAAUGCGUAGAUAUGCGGAGGAACACCGAUGGCGAAGGCAAUCUCCUGGGCCUGCACUGACGCUCAUGCACGAAAGCGUGGGGAGCAAACAGGAUUAGAUACCCCAGUAGUCCCUGUCUCUUAUAC
rnacentral:rRNA from 1 species